rnacentral:rRNA from 1 species
UGGGGAAUAUUGGACAAUGGGCGCAAGCCUGAUCCAGCCAUGCCGCGUGAGUGACGAAGGCCUUAGGGUUGUAAAGCUCUUUUGGCGGGGAAGAUAAUGACGGUACCCGCAGAAUAAGCUCCGGCUAACUUCGUGCCAGCAGCCGCGGUAAUACGAAGGGAGCUAGCGUUGUUCGGAAUCACUGGGCGUAAAGCGCACGUAGGUGGGCAGUUAAGUCAGGGGUGAAAGCCCGAGGCUCAACCUCGGAAUUGCCUCUGAUACUGGCUGUCUAGAGUUCGAGAGAGGUGAGUGGAAUUCCUAGUGUAGAGGUGAAAUUCGUAGAUAUUAGGAAGAACACCGGUGGCGAAGGCGGCUCACUGGCUCGAUACUGACGCUGAGGCGCGAAAGCCAGGGGAGCAAACGGGAUUAGAUACCCCCGUAGUCCCUGAGCGGGCUGGCAAGGCGCAU